UCUGAGCAAACAGUCUAACAGAAACCAUCUUCUCAAACAGAACAUGGUAAAGCUUCUUUUAACAAGAAACUAGAUACAUCGAUGGAUUAUUUGAAGCAACAUCUGUCCCCUUCCUUUCUCUGGAUGUCAUUUAAAUCAAGAAUUACAUCCAUGGGGAUUAGCAAAGGUCCUGAAGCGAUGUGAGAAAGUCAAAGAAAACAGUUUUGAAGCACAGCACUCAGAAACAAAGUAGACCAAAGGAAACUGAAGCUGCCCCGUGAUGACAAGGCCGUUUCCUUACUUCCUGCGAAGCAACACACGCUGACAAGAUGAGGAAGAACCAGCCUAAACAUCACUUACUGAAGCCUCCUUCUGUCCACCCAACUAUCAGUGUAACAUCCUGGUCCCUACACUCCUAACCUCCUGCUCUGCUUUUUUUCUAAGCCCCUAUUACCCACUAGUAUGUAACUUACCUAUUUAGUAUGCUAAUUAUUUAUUAUGUAACUCCUUUGAUAGCAUGUAAGUUCCUAAGAGCAAGGAUCUAUGCUGGGUUUUGUUUCUUUAACUGAUAAAUCGCGGCGCCUAGAACAGUUCCCGGAACACACAAAUGCUGCUCAUUAGAUAUCUGUUGAAUAAAGGGAUAAAUGAUACUA